GUCUAAGUCCAAACAGCCCUGAAAGCAUCUGAUCUCAAAAGCUAAGCAGGGUCCGUGUCUGGUUAGUAUUUGGAUGGGAGAACCAUGCCAAUCCAUUCUGAACAAACAGGAUGUGAUU
rnacentral:rRNA from 1 species